rnacentral:rRNA from 1 species
GGGAUAAACGACUGAAGGCAUCUAAGCGUGAAGACCCACCUUAAGAUAAGAUCUCCCAUAGCGUAAGCUAGUAAGACCCCUUAGAAGAACACAAGGUUGAUAGGUAAAAGGUGUAAGUAUGGUAACAUAUUUAGCUGAUUUAUACUAAUAGGUCGAGGGCUUGACCAAAAUUAGCA